UACAGAGGGUGCGAGCGUUAUUCGGAAUUACUGGGCGUAAAGCGCGCGUAGGCGGUUUGUCGCGUCGAAUGUGAAAACCCGGGGCUCAACCCCGGGCCUGCAUUCGAUACGGGCAGACUAGAGUUCGGUAGGGGAGUCUGGAAUUCCUGGUGUAGCGGUGAAAUGCGCAGAUAUCAGGAGGAACACCGGUGGCGAAGGCGGGACUCUGGGCCGAUACUGACGCUGAGGAGCGAAAGCGUGGGGAGCGAACAGG
rnacentral:rRNA from 1 species